CCUACGUGUGGCAGCAGUGAGGAAUAUUGGUCAAUGGGCGAGAGCCUGAACCAGCCAAGUCGCGUGGGGGAGUACUGACCUAUGGGUUGUAAACCUCUUUUGUCGGGGAGCAAAAGCCGGAAGGGUCCGGCUGGGAGAGUACCCGAAGAAAAAGCAUCGGCUAACUCCGUGCCAGCAGCCGCGGGAAUACGGGGGAUGUGAGAGUGAUCCGGUUAUAUUGGGUUUAAAGGGGGCGCAGACGGAUUAUUAAGUCUGCGGGAAAAUAGGGGGGCUCAACCCCAUCCAGCCGUUGACACUGGGGUUCUAGAGUGUUCGAGAGGUAUGCGGAAUGCGUGGUGUAGCGGUGAAAUGCAUAGAUAUCACGCAGAACCCCGAUUGCGAAGGCAGCAUACCGGUGCACAACUGACGCUCAGGCACGAAAGCGUGGGUAUCGAACAGGAUUAGAUACCCCAGUAGUC
rnacentral:rRNA from 1 species